rnacentral:rRNA from 1 species
CCCUUAGAUGUUCUGGGCCGCACGCGCGCUACACUGAUGCAUUCAACGAGCCUAUCCUUGACCGACAGGUCCGGGUAAUCUUUGAAUCUGCAUCGUGACGGGGAUAGAUUAUUGCAAUUAUUAAUCUUCAACGAGGAAUGCCUAGUAGGCGCAAGUCAUCAGCUUGCGUCGAUUACGUCCCUGCCCUUUGUACACACCGCCCGUCGCUCCUACCGAUUGGGUGUGCUGGUGAAAUGUUCGGAUCGGCCGUUUGUCGCGGUUUCCGCGGCUCGUGGCUGAGAAGUACAUUAAACCCUCCCACCUAGAGGAAGGAGAAGUCGUAACA